UUUAAUGGAACUACCACUUUAAUACAGGUUUAGCACUUAUGUACACAUUGUCUUUUUGUUUGACUGGCUCUAUUGCAUACUUCAUUACAAAGGCUCAGCUCUGCUCACUUAUUUAUAUGCCAUGUAGCAGCUAUAUGCCUCGCGCAAGACGGUCAACGUUCUAAAGUAAUGAACAAUAUUUUAUAUUUCUCUUCCAUAAACUUUUACAGUUUAGCGUGGGAAUAGAAAAUAAUAAAAGAUAGCGUGGUCAGCAAAAAGCUAAAGCAUGUACACACUUCAACAGCUUUUUUUGUAAACACAUGUUCAACGAAUUGAAAGUUAUAUGGUCAGCCAAAUUUCAAUAAAUUAACUACAAUUUUUGUGUUUGUCCUUUCUUUCUUUUCGUGUCUACCAGCUCUCGAAGAAAGGACACUAGAACACCUCUCGAGUCUAUGUUCAGGUUUGGUCAGAACUAGGCUUAAGUUUCUGGGGACUUCCUUCUUUAACACACUGGGAAAUAUCUUUAACAUUAGCAUUGGCCAGACCCCUGCUUCUGGCUGGUUCUAGCUUGACUUUCUAACCAUUAUUACGACGAUUUGUGGUUUCAAACUGACUUUCUUAUCUAAUUAAGGAGUAUUCGUUCCUCCCUCCACCGCAACUAACUAACAAACUAAUAAAUCAAAGCUGGUGACAAAAAAGCUGAAUUUCAUUUAAAAAAAGCCGCAGUUUUUGGUCAAAAACUCCAUCAAUAUCAUCAACUAACCACCGUACUCUCCAGAUAUGGUCCCGUGUGACUUUUUCCUCUUCCCCCGAGUCAAAUUCUAGUUAUCGUUAAGGGAAAGUGAUAGAUUAAUUAUACAAGAGAUUAUACAAGAAAUUAUUAUUUUGGCAAAAGGCACGAAUACCAAUAAAAGAAUAAAAAAAUUGCAUAAAUAAAUUGGAUGGAAAACCUACAAUAAAAAUGGAGAGAUUUGCAAAAACAUGCUAAUAAAAAAACUUAUGAGAUUAGCAAAAAGAAGCUGAAUUUACAAACGAUUAGAGGCAUUAUUCGAUUUGGCACACGCAAAUGCACUUGAGAUGAUAACAAUAGAAAACGAUAAGAACUUUUUAAUAAAUCAACGGUGGGAGGGUCGAGCUGGUUACAUGUAUGGUCUAGAUUAUUAAGAAAUUCGAAGAGAAACAAGAAGUGAAUAAAAGUAUGAAAUACUUUUACAAAGAAGAGAACAUUGCACAUGGCAAAUGAAAGAAUUAGAAACUGUGUCAUUACCGAUAUCAUUAGAAAGUGAAAAUUCUGCGAGUGAUAACAAUUUAGACCUACACCACGCACAAGAGCAAGAAGAAAUUUAGAAAUUGUAGAUCAGAAGUUUGCAGCUGUUCUUAUUGCUGCGAAAUUAGUGAUUGUGAUGCUAUUCGUCUCAUUAUCGCCAUAAUCGAAUCAUUAGGAAAAAAAAUUCCAUACCCAUUGUUCGACAAAACCUGCGAUCACAAAAAAUAGAACACUUAAAAAACAGUUCAAAGUUUGUGUGCUAAAUGCAGUUUGUUUGCAUUGGGAUGGAAAAUUGC